AAAAUUGUGUCGUUUGGGUCUAACCUAUAUGGGGAAAAAUGAAAUGCGGAUAGUGUUCCCUUUUGCAUCCCUGCUUAAAAAGUUGGAUCUCCUCUAUGCAUUGCUUGACACAGAGGACCAUUGUCUUCUAAUUCAAAAAUGCUUCAACUUAGAAGUUCUUGAGACAAGAAAUGUUAUUGGAGAUCGAGGGUUGGAAGUUCUUGCUUCAAGUUGCAGGCGACUAAAGAGGCUUAGAAUUGAGCUUGGUGCUGAUGAGCAGGGAAUGGAGGAUGA
rnacentral:misc_RNA from 1 species